rfam:Dipodomys ordii contig_23996, whole genome shotgun sequence.
GGUGGCUCAGUGGUAGAGCGCUUGCCUAGCAUGCAUGAGCCCCUGAGUUCCAUUCCUCAGCACCA